rnacentral:rRNA from 1 species
UACGAAGGGGGCUAGCGUUGCUCGGAAUCACUGGGCGUAAAGGGUGCGUAGGCGGGUCUUUAAGUCAGGGGUGAAAUCCUGGAGCUCAACUCCAGAACUGCCUUUGAUACUGAAGAUCUUGAGUCCGGGAGAGGUGAGUGGAACUGCGAGUGUAGAGGUGAAAUGCGCAGAUAUCAGGAAGAACACCCGUGGCGAAGGCGGUUCUCUGGGACGGUACUGACGCUGAGACGCGAAAGCGUGGGGAGCGAACAGG